rnacentral:rRNA from 1 species
AUUGAACGCUGGCGGCAGGCCUAACACAUGCAAGUCGAGCGGAUGAAGGGAGCUUGCUCCUGGAUUCAGCGGCGGACGGGUGAGUAAUGCCUAGGAAUCUGCCUGGUAGUGGGGGAUAACGUCCGGAAACGGGCGCUAAUACCGCAUACGUCCUGAGGGAGAAAGUGGGGGAUCGUCGGACCUCACGCUAUCAGAUGAGCCUAGGUCGGAUUAGCUAGUUGGUGGGGUAAAGGCCUACCAAGGCGACGAUCCGUAACUGGUCUGAGAGGAUGAUCAGUCACACUGGAACUGAGACACGGUCCAGACUCCUACGGGAGGCAGCAGUGGGGAAUAUUAGACAAUGGGCGAAAGCCUGAUCCAGCCAUGCCGCGUGUGUGAAGAAGGUCUUCGGAUUGUAAAGAACUUUAAGUUGGGAGGAAGGGCAGUAAGUUAAUACCUUGCUGUUUUGACGGUACCAACAGAAUAAGCACCGGCUAACUUCGUG